ACCCUUGGUCAGGUUGAAGUUCAGGUAACACUGAAUGGAGGACCGAACCGACUUACGUUGAAAAGUGAGCGGAUGAACUGAGGGUAGCGGAGAAAUUCCAAUCGAACCUGGAGAUAGCUGGUUCUCUCCGAAAUAGCUUUAGGGCUAGCCUCAAGUGAUGAUUAUUGGAGGUAGAGCACUGUUUGGACGAGGGGCCCCUCUCGGGUUACCGAAUUCAGACAAACUCCGAAUGCCAAUUAAUUUAACUUGGGAGUCAGAACAUGGGUGAUAAGGUCCGUGUUCGAAAGGGAAACAGCCCAGACCACCAGCUAAGGUCCCAAAAUAUAUGUUAAGUGGAAAAGGAUGUGGCGUUGCCCAGACAACUAGGAUGUUGGCUUAGAAGCAGCCAUCAUUUAAAGAGUGCGUAAUAGCUCACUAGUCGAGUGACACUGCGCCGAAAAUGUACCGGGGCUAAACAUAUUACCGAAGCUGUGGAUUGUCCUUUGGACAAUGGUAGGAGAGCGUUCUAAGGGCGUUGAAGCAUGAUCGUAAGGACAUGUGGAGCGCUUAGAAGUGAGAAUGCCGGUGUGAGUAGCGAAAGACGGGUGAGAAUCCCGUCCACCGAUUGACUAAGGUUUCCAGAGGAAGGCUCGUCCGCUCUGGGUUAGUCGGGUCCUAAGCUGAGGCCGACAGGCGUAGGCGAUGGAUAACAGGUUGAUAUUCCUGUACCACCUAUAAUCGUUUUAAUCGAUGGGGGGACGCAGUAGGAUAGGCGAAGCGUGCGAUUGGAUUGCACGUCUAAGCAGUAAGGCUGAGUAUUAGGCAAAUCCGGUACUCGUUAAGGCUGAGCUGUGAUGGGGAGAAGACAUUGUGUCUUCGAGUCGUUGAUUUCACACUGCCGAGAAAAGCCUCUAGAUAGAAAAUAGGUGCCCGUACCGCAAACCGACACAGGUAGUCAAGAUGAGAAUUCUAAGGUGAGCGAGCGAACUCUCGUUAAGGAACUCGGCAAAAUGACCCCGUAACUUCGGGAGAAGGGGUGCUCUUUAGGGUUAACGCCCAGAAGAGCCGCAGUGAAUAGGCCCAAGCGACUGUUUAUCAAAAACACAGGUCUCUGCUAAACCGUAAGGUGAUGUAUAGGGGCUGACGCCUGCCCGGUGCUGGAAGGUUAAGAGGAGUGGUUAGCUUCUGCGAAGCUACGAAUCGAAGCCCCAGUAAACGGCGGCCGUAACUAUAACGGUCCUAAGGUAGCGAAAUUCCUUGUCGGGUAAGUUCCGACCCGCACGAAAGGCGUAACGAUUUGGGCACUGUCUCAACGAGAGACUCGGUGAAAUCAUAGUACCUGUGAAGAUGCAGGUUACCCGCGACAGGACGGAAAGACCCCGUGGAGCUUUACUGUAGCCUGAUAUUGAAAUUCGGCACAGCUUGUACAGGAUAGGUAGGAGCCUUUGAAACGUGAGCGCUAGCUUACGUGGAGGCGCUGGUGGG
rnacentral:rRNA from 1 species